rnacentral:rRNA from 1 species
UACGUAGGGUGCAAGCGUUGUCCGGAAUUAUUGGGCGUAAAGAGCUCGUAGGCGGUCUGUCGCGUCUGCUGUGAAAACCUGGGGCUUAACCCCGGGCCUGCAGUGGGUACGGGCAGACUAGAGUGUGGUAGGGGAGACUGGAAUUCCUGGUGUAGCGGUGAAAUGCGCAGAUAUCAGGAGGAACACCGAUGGCGAAGGCAGGUCUCUGGGCCACUACUGACGCUGAGAAGCGAAAGCAUGGGGAGCGAACAGG